rnacentral:rRNA from 1 species
CACGGAGUUAGCCGGUGCUUCUUCUGCGAGUAACGUCAAUUGAUGAACGUAUUAAGUUCACCACCUUCCUCCUCGCUGAAAGUGCUUUACAACCCGAAGGCCUUCUUCACACACGCGGCAUGGCUGCAUCAGGCUUGCGCCCAUUGUGCAAUAUUCCCCACUGCUGCCUCCCGUAGGGAGUCUGGACCGUGUCUCAGUUCCAGUGUGGCUGGUCAUCCUCUCAGACCAGCUAGGGAUCGUCGCCUAGGUGAGCCAUUACCCCACCUACUAGCUAAUCCCAUCUGGGCACAUCUGAUGGCAAGAGGCCCGAAGGUCCCCCUCUUUGGUCUUGCGACGUUAUGCGGUAUUAGCUACCGUUUCCAGUAGUUAUCCCCCUCAUCAGGCAGUUUCCCAGACAUUACUCACCCGUCCGCCGCUCGUCACCCAGGGAGCAAGCUCCCCUGUGCUACCGCUCGACUUGCAUGUGUUAGCCUGCCGCAGCGUUA